rnacentral:lncRNA from 1 species
CGUGACUCCAUCUCAAAAAUAAAUAAAUAAAAUAAUAGAUAAUGUGUGUAUUUCACCAUUCAUUUCACUUAAAAUCAGAAUAAAUAGUGAAGAAACAGAAAUAUCAUUUUCUGCUGAUGUAUUGUAAUGUCUAGUGGUGCUCAAACAGAGACGGCAUGUGGAGGAAGAAGGAACAAAGCAUUAGGUCAAGAGACCUAGAUUUCAGGCUGAAUUAGGCCCUACAGAGGCUGUAAACAGUGAAUGGUGAUCCCUCACCAUUAUGAAAAUAAAAAUACAAAUGACAUUAUACCAUAAACUAAGUCCAAAAGAGUCCUUAUUUUUCCCAUAAUGAACAGUAAAUAUUUUUGUUAAAUAUUUUAUUUUUCCCCCCUAGAAUUAUUCUGGUGCUCCUGAUUUGUUAGUUGCCUGAGAAUAAGACAUGCUCCAUCAGACUCCAAAAAGUUCAGUCCUCUCCAGCCUGUUCUUCUGGUCAGCUCUGCCCAUCGGUCAUUAACCUCUCUAGGCCUCUUUCUCCAGCAACACAAUGAAGGGUUUUGAUCAGGUGGCAUCUGGGCUUCCACCCAGCUCGGAAGAAUAACUCCCUGCUCCGGUCACUGCAGAGCCAGCCCUAGGCCGUGUUUCCUGAACCUUUGAAAUCCUGUCACCUCCCUUUUUAAGAGCAUGCUGUUGAGCUAACUCAUGGGGCUGUGUGAAUGAAUGAUAGCCUUAACCUUGCCGGGUGUGUCUUUAUUUUAAUAUUACAAACCAUGAGACUCUAGUUAAGGGAAUUUCAGACAUUUUUAAGAAUGAUUUUUGUUUUUUUUCCAGGGGUGGUAAGUGUGGUGUUUCCUGAGAGCAGAGGCUUUGGAGCAUGACUGAUAAGGGUUUAAAGGCUAGUUCUACUGAAUGGGUGAAGAUGCUGAUUAAGAAGGCAUUCACCUGCAAGCCAGGAAGAGAAACUUCACCAGGAAAGGAAUCAGCCCGCACCCUAAUCUUGGACUUCUAAGCCUCCAGAAUUGUGAGAAAAUAAAUUUCUGUUGUUU